GACGAACGCUGGCGGCGUGCUUAACACAUGCAAGUCGAACGGAAAGGCCCUGCUUUUGUGGGGUGCUCGAGUGGCGAACGGGUGAGUAACACGUGAGUAACCUGCCCUUGACUUUGGGAUAACUUCAGGAAACUGGGGCUAAUACCGGAUAGGAGCUCCUGCUGCAUGGUGGGGGUUGGAAAGUUUCGGCGGUUGGGGAUGGACUCGCGGCUUAUCAGCUUGUUGGUGGGGUAGUGGCUUACCAAGGCUUUGACGGGUAGCCGGCCUGAGAGGGUGACCGGCCACAUUGGGACUGAGAUACGGACCAGACUCCUACGGGAGGCAGCAGUGGGGAAUGUUGCACAAUGGGCGGAAGCCUGAUGCAGCAACGCCGCGUGCGGGAUGACGGCCUUCGGGUUGUAAACCGCUUUCGCCUGUGACGAAGCGCGAGUGACGGUAAUGGGUAAAGAAGCACCGGCUAACUACGUG
rnacentral:rRNA from 1 species